rnacentral:lncRNA from 1 species
ACAUCUUAUUCUAAAGGUAUGACAUGGCUACUGGACCAACAAGUUUAAAGUUUGUUGCUACUAUAUGGUGGAUAUGGCGCUGGAGGAACAACAUUGUUUUGGGUGAUAAAACUUGAAAAGCUAGUGAUGUGAUCCGACAAAUUAACCUCAUGGUUGAGGAUAUGGUUUUGUUAUCUACAACUGAUACAUGUGCAGCUAAUAAUAGAAGCAAGGUCAAAUGGAAAGCUCUCCCAUCGGGUAAAUUUAAACUUAAUGUGGAUGGAAGUUGUGACCAAAGUGGUAUCAUCGGUUCAGGAGGAUUGAUUCGAGACGCUAUAGGAAAUUGGGUGGCAGGAUUCUCAUCUAAUGAUGGUUGCGGUGAUGCGCUUAUUGCUGAGUUGUUUGGAAUUUAUAACGGUUUGGUCUUGUUGAUAAACAAUUCGGUGUUGCAUGUUGAGUGUGAGACAGACUCCACUGAGAUCAUAAACCUACUUAUGGACAGACAAUCUCACUCAUUCCAUGCUUAUGCUUCUUUACUAGCUAAAAUAACAAGUUUGUUGGAUCAUCUCCUAGGUUUGGUGUUCAAACAUGUGCUCCGUGAAGGCAAUGUAUGUGCAGACUUUUUGGCUAGGUUGGGGAGGAACUCUACUCUUGAAAUAACAACUUGAGUGACACCUCCUGAUGAGCUGAUCUCGUUGCUCAACUUUGAUGCUUUCGAUUUCUAGUUAGCUUUUGUUUUUUGUUUUUUUGACCUUCACCAAAAAAAAAAAAAAGUAUGAGAUUCAUGAUGAUCUUAUUCUCA